rnacentral:tRNA from 1 species
GCGGUGGUAGCUCAGUUGGUAGAGCAUCAGCCUUCCAAGCUGAGGGUCGCGGGUUCGAGCCCCGUCCGCCGCU